rnacentral:tRNA from 1 species
UCGUCGCCGGGGAGCUGGACUCGACCGUGGUCGUCUGCGAGGCGGCCGACGGCCGGCUGCGGCCGGUGUCGUCGGUCGCGGCGACCGUCGGCGAGCC